UCUUAAAUCUGCUUUAUGGCUGCUUUUUUCAUUUUAUUCAAAUACAUGCCUCAUAGCAUCUUUAAAGCACUGUUUUUUUUUUUUAAUUUUCAUUUCUAUAGUAUUUUUACAAUUUCUCAUUGCUAAUUUUAGAUCUAUUUUUAUUAAUGUGUGUAUGCAUGUGUACAUGAGGGUGAUUACGCGUGUGAGUGUAGUUGCCCAUGAAAGUCAGAAGAAGGCAUUGGAUGCCCUGGGGAUGGAGUUACAGAAAGUUGUGUGUCACCUUCUGUGGGUACUAGGAACUGAAUUUGUACCUGUGCAAGAAUAAUAUGUGCUCUUAACUAUGGAGAUAUCUGUCCAGCCCAUGAUUUUCUGUUUCUCUUUCAUAUUUGUUAUUCUAAUACUCUACUAAGAGUUCUGUGGCUUGUUUACACUGGAUUAUCAAAAUCUUUUAAAAAUUAUUUUGCAAUUAUUUGCUCUGUUGCUUUAUAUAAGUUAUAGACACAUCUCCCCCCCCCCCCCGCUUUGAAAUCAUUUUUCUUUUCAAAUGAAUUCAAAAUCAGAAGUAAGAUGUAAUGGGAAAUGCCAAUGAGUUAAGGCCUAUCAAAAUUAUGAUGGAAUCCUGGAAUAGCCUAAAGACAGUAUAUUCAAACAUGGAAUAUUUCACUCAGAUGGCCAAAGGUCUGGGGAUGCCAAGUUGAGGAGGAGUUUGGAGGUUAGAAGGAGAAGUAUAACCUUAUGUCUGAUGCUCCAUUUGGAAAAGAGAAAAGUUAGGUCUUUAAAAGUUGUAAUAUUCACUGUUACAGGCACUGAUGAGAAUUUUUUGGAAGAGGAAUUUUUAAACUUAAGUUUAUUUUUAACCAAUAUAUAAAAGUGAAAAAUCUUUACGUAUUAAUGGAGUAAAGUAUACUCACAAG
rnacentral:lncRNA from 1 species